rnacentral:sRNA from 1 species
UUUUUUUUUUUUUUAAUAAAAAAUCACAUGCAACAAAUCCAGUGAAAACGACGGAUAUGGUGAUGUGCAUGUUUUUUCUUUUAACAAUGACUGCGAGGCUUAUAUAAAUUAUCGGGCGAGCCGUUUUGGAGAUCUGGGUGACCACGAGGAAUGUACAAACAAAAAAAUUAAAACAGGCAUGGAACAGAAUACGCAGAAAAACCAUAAGCAAGAUUUUACAAAUAAAAUGUCAUGUGAGUGUGUGUGUAAUCUCAAAAGUGGCGUGGGUUCCACAAAUCUAUUGUUCGUGCAAGUGGUGUGAGUAAUACACCUAUGUGUGAGAGUGUGUUACAACACUCAUUCACUCACACAAUGCAACUGAGUAAAUUCAUGUCGUGUCAUUUCUUUGAAUGGAUUGAAUACACACCACUCAUUGCGGCACUUCACGCAUCACCAAUGUAUUGCACAUUUUCCCAUAACUAACGGAACUCACACAGAAUUCACAGCGUCUUGGAAGGAAUUCUUUAAAAACACCGUUUACCUAAAAAAAACGCACUUGCGCUUCAGGUAGUGUUGUACCUUUAUUGAUUUCAUCUGCACCUGGCGACGAAAUAUGGGUAACACCAUACAUGGUUAAAAUGUCAGCCCGAACACCUUUCGUUGCAGAGACAAAUGUUUUAGCCACAUAUACAGGCAAUAAAUUUUUAACUUUGUUGAUGUGGGAAAUAAUCAUAAAAAUGUUUCACCGAACCAGACAAGUCACUGUGUGCAAUCUGCACAUCCGUGGUUUUGCUACUUGAGCAAAAAAAAGGAUUCAUAAAUAUUUUCGCAGCACAAUUACAACCCAUAAUUUGUAGGUGAGUAUUUGAUUGGUGCAUCUCUUCAUGACCUCUGGUGUGUGUUUUAAACAUGAAAAUAAGUUUGUAGCAAUCAAUAGAAGAGAUUGUGUUUUGGUUAUACCCAUAGUUAAAAUGAAUAAAAGUGAUACCUGACAUAAGAAUUGU